UACAGAGACUGCAAGCGUUGUUCGGAUUCAUUGGGCGUAAAGGGUGCGCAGGCGGUCCGGUAAGUCGGAUGUGAAAUCUCGAGGCUUAACCUCGAUAGGUCAUUCGAAACUGCCGGGCUAGAGGACUGGAGAGGAGACUGGAAUGGUUGGUGUAGCAGUGAAAUGCGUAGAGAUCAACCAGAACACCAGUAGCGAAGGCGGGUCUCUGGACAGUUCCUGACGCUCAGGCACGAAAGCCAGGGGAGCAAACGGG
rnacentral:rRNA from 1 species